UACGUAGGUGGCAAGCGUUAUCCGGAAUUAUUGGGCGUAAAGCGCGCGCAGGCGGUUUCUUAAGUCUGAUGUGAAAGCCCACGGCCCAACCGUGGAGGGUCAUUGGAAACUGGGGAACUUGAGUGCAGAAGAGAAAAGCGGAAUUCCACGUGUAGCGGUGAAAUGCGUAGAGAUGUGGAGGGACACCAGUGGCGAAGGCGGCUUUUUGGUCUGUAACUGACGCUGAGGCGCGAAAGCGUGGGGAGCAAACAGG
rnacentral:rRNA from 1 species